GCAUUAAAACAUUAGUUCCCAUAUGAUCAGGAAAGUUAAGCAACGUUGAUCCUGGCCAGUACCUAGAUGGAUGACCACUUGGGAAUACCAUGUGCUGUAAG